rfam:Felis catus isolate Cinnamon breed Abyssinian chromosome B1, whole genome shotgun sequence.
GCCUGGGUGGCUCAGUCGGUUAAGCGUCUGACUUGGGCUCAGGUCAUGAUCUCACGGUUUGUGAGUUCGAGACCCGCAUCGGGCU